GCGGAGCUCAGUGUUGUGUGUCCGUUGCGUGUUUGGUGUCCAUUGCUCUGUCCGGUUUUCUCCGCGAGGCUCCAAGUGACUCCGCCAUUGCCUCCAUGGCCCUGGGACCUGCAGGUACUGGAAGGUCCAUUGGGAAGAUGUCGGGACACCACAGAAGACAAGAACCAAUUCUGUUAGCCUAUCGAAAAUGCAAGAUGCAGUUCUUUCAUGGGAACACUUAUUAGAACUUAAGAAUAAUCAUUGUGAACAACUUACAGUAAAUAUUAAACAAAUGGAAAAUAUGGUUGGUGUACUACAAAAGGAGCUAUGUGAAGCAAAAGAAACACAAUUACAGUUAGAGCAUGAAAAAGGUCAAUGGGAACAAGAACGCUACAGUUUGAGAUGGAGCUGUCUAGUUGAAGGAAAACAAGCUCAGGACUUUCA
rnacentral:lncRNA from 1 species